rnacentral:rRNA from 1 species
UGAACGGUAACAGGAGAAGCUUGCUUCUCUGCUGACGAGUGGCGGACGGGUGAGUAAGAUCUGGGAAACUGCCCGACAGAGGGGGACAACAGAUGGAAACGUCUGCUGAUACCGCAUAUACCCUGAGGGGGAAAGCAGCGAUGCGCUGUCGGAUGUGCCCAGAGGGGAUUAGCCUGUAGGUGAGGUAAGAGCUCACCUAAGCUGCGAUCUCUAGCUGGUCUGAGAGGAUGACCAGCCACAUCGGGACUGAGACACGGCCCGGACUCCUACGGGAGGCAGCAGUAGGGAAUAUUGCACAAUGGGGGAAACCCUGAUGCAGCCAUGCCGCGUGUGUGAAGAAGGCCUUCGGGUUGUAAAGCACUUUCAGAGGGGAGGAAACAAUGACGUUACCCUCAGAAGAAGCACCGGCUGACUCCGUGCCAGCAGCCGCGGUAAUACGGAGGGUGCGAGCGUUAAUCGGAAUAACUGGGCGUAAAGGGCAUGCAGGCGGGACGGUAAGUAAGGUGUGAAAUACCGGGGCUUAACCUCGGGGCUGCAUUUUAAACUGCCGUUCUUGAGUAUUGCAGGGAGAGACGGAAUUCCUGGUGUAGCGGUGGAAUGCGUAGCAGAUCAGGAAGAACACCGGAGGCGAAGGCGGUCUCUUGGGCAAAUAACUGACGCUGAGAUGCGAAAGCGCGGGAAGCAACAGGAUUAGAUACCUUGGUAGUCCGCGCCGUAAACGAUGUCGAUUGGGAGUCCGAACUUAGGUUUGGGUUCCGGAGCAAACGCGUUAAAUCGACCGCCUGGGGAGUACGGCCGCAAGGUUAAAACUCAAAUGAAUUGACGGGGGCCCGCACAAGCGGUGGAGCAUGUGGUUUAAUUCGACGCAACGCGAAGAACCUUACCUGAUCUUGACAUCCGAAGAACCCCUCCGAAGGGAGGGGGUGCCUAGGGAGCUCGAC